UGAAAAUAAUUAAUUAAAAAAAUUGAGUAUAUAAUAAAAAUAAUUUUAAUUUAAUAAUAAUUUAAUGGGGGUUAAAGUAUUAAUUAAAGAAAAAAUUUUUAUUUUUAUAGUUAAUUAGUAAUGUUAGUGAAUUUUGAAAUAAUUGAAAUUUUAUUUUUUAAAAAGUAAUUUUUAUUUAAUGUAUCUUGUGUAUCAGAGUUUAUUAAAAAUUUUUAAUAUUUUUUAAUUUCUCGAAUUUUAAAGAGUUAAAUAAUUAUAAAAGUUAUUGUAGCAUAACUAUUUUAAAUAAUUAUUUUGAAAUGAAAUGUUAUUCGUUUUAAAAGAUAUCUAGUUUUUUUAGAAAAAAAUUUAAUUUUUAAUUUUAAUAUUUUUUUUAAAAUUAAUUAAUUAAUUUUAAAAAAAUUAAAAUUUUAUAUUUUAAGGGAUAAGCUUUAAAUUAAAUUUUUAUAAUUAUUUUUUUUUUAUUUAAUAAAAUUUUUAUAAUUUAUAUUGUUAAUAAAUUUUUAUUUAUUAUAAAUAAUUUUAUUUAUUUAAAAAAUUUAAAAAUAUAAUUUAAUUUUUUAUAAAAAUAUAAUUUAAAAUAAAUUAAAGUUAGAAAUAAUGAUAAAAUUAGUAUAUUAAUAUAAUUAAUUUUAAAUUAAAAAUUUAAAUAAAUUAAUUAAUUAAAAGGAAUUCGGCAAAUUUUAUUUUCACUUGUUUAUCAAAAACAUGUCUUUUUGUAAUUUAUUUAAAGUCUAAUCUGCCCACUGAUUUUAAAAUUAAAGGGCUGCAGUAUUUUGACUGUACAAAGGUAGCAUAAUCAUUAGUCUCUUAAUUGGUGACUUGUAUGAAAGAUUGGAUGAGAAAUAUACUGUCUCUUAGUUAUUUAAUAAAAUUUAAUUUUUUAUUUAAAAAGUUAAAAUAAAUUAAAAAGACGAGAAGACCCUAUAGAGUUUGAUAAAUAUUUUUAUAAUAAAUUAUUUGUUUAAAUAAAAUUUUUAUUAAUUUAUUUAUUUUGUUGGGGUGAUAAAAAAAUAAAUUUAACUUUUUUUUAUAUUUAAACAUAAAUAAGUGAAUUUUUGAUCCAAUAGUAUUGAUUAAAAGAUUAAAUUACCUUAGGGAUAACAGCGUAAUUUUUUUUUUUAGUUCAAAUAAGAAAAAGAGUUUGCGACCUCGAUGUUGGAUUAAGAUAAAAUUUAAAUGCAAAAGUUUAAAAUUUUUGAUCUGUUCGAUCAUUAAAAUCUUACAUGAUCUGAGUUCAAACCGGUGUGAGCCAGGUUGGUUUCUAUCUUUUAAAAUUUAAAAUAUUUUAGUACGAAAGGAUCAAGUAUUUUAAUUAAAUUAUAUUUUUAUGAAUAAAAUUAAAAUAAGAAAAAAUUAUUUAUAUGUAAAAUAAAUUUAU
rnacentral:rRNA from 1 species